GACGAACGCUGGCGGCGUGCUUAACACAUGCAAGUCGAACGGAAAGGCCCUGCUUUUGUGGGGUGCUCGAGUGGCGAACGGGUGAGUAACACGUGAGUAACCUGCCCUUGACUUUGGGAUAACUUCAGGAAACUGGGGCUAAUACCGGAUAGGAGCUCCUGCUGCAUGGUGGGGGGUGGAAAGUUUCGGCGGUUGGGGAUGGACUCGCGGCUUAUCAGCUUGUUGGUGGGGUAGUGGCUUACCAAGGCUUUGACGGGUAGCCGGCCUGAGGGGGUGACCGGCCACAUUGGGACUGAGAUACGGCCCAGACUCCUACGGGAGGCAGCAGUGGGGAAUAUUGCACAAUGGGCGGAAGCCUGAUGCAGCAACGCCGCGUGCGGGAUGACGGCCUUCGGGUUGUAAACCGCUUUCGCCUGUGACGAAGCGUGAGUGACGGUAAUGGGUAAAGAAGCACCGGCUAACUACGUG
rnacentral:rRNA from 1 species